GGAUUGCGUGAGGGAUAGCAGUGGAGCUCUUUUUGAGGAUGGCUUUUUUUGGCCGUACUCAAAAAAGCGGGAACGAAUAGCCCGACCCUUG
rnacentral:sRNA from 1 species